UACAGAGGUCUCAACCGUUGUUCGGAUUCAUUGGGCGUAAAGGGUGCGUAGGCGGUCGUGUAAGUCGGAUGUGAAAUCCCGGGGCUCAACCCCGGAACUGCAUUCGAUACUGCAUGGCUAGGGUACUGGAGAGGAAACUGGAAUUUACGGUGUAGCAGUGAAAUGCGUAGAUAUCGUAAGGAAGACCAGUGGCGAAGGCGGGUCUCUGGACAGUUCCUGACGCUGAGGCACGAAGGUCAGGGGAGCAAACGGG
rnacentral:rRNA from 1 species